rnacentral:rRNA from 1 species
AUGAGCCAGCGGGCGCUCGACCUGCUCCAGAUGAUGGCGAAAGAAGGAGGUGGCUGCUCCCCCAACGUGGUGGCGUAUAGCACGGUCAUCCGUGGCUUUUUUAAGGAAGGUGAAACAGGCAAGGCAUGCAAUCUGUUCCAUGAAAUGAUGCAGCAAGGUGUUGAGCCCAGUGUGUGGACAUAUAGCUCAAUCAUUGAUGCAUUGUGCAAGGCCAGAGCAAUGGACAAGGCAGAGCUAGUGCUUCAGCAGAUGGUUAACAAAGGUGUUCAACCCAAUAAUGUGACAUAUAAUUGCAUGAUCCAUGGAUAUUCCACAUCUGGGCAGUCGAAAGAGGCUGCUAAAUUGCUUAGAGAAAUGAAAAGCCGGGACCUUAUACCAGAUAUUGUCACUCGCAACUCGUUCCUGGCCUCCCUUUGCAAGCAUGGGAGAAGCAAGGAAGCUGCAGAAUUUCUUGAUUCCAUGACUGCCAAGGGCCACAAACCAGAUAUCGUAUCAUACCGUAUUUUGCUUCAUGGGUAUGCCAGUGAAGGAUGCUUUGCUGAUAUGAUUGAUCUCUUUAAUUCAAUGGAAAGCAACGGUAUUGCAGCUGACUGCCAUGUUUUCAACAUAUUAAUUAAUGGAUAUGCAAAACGUGGAAUGACAGAAGAAGCUAUGCUGAUAUUUACUGAAAUGCGGGGACAAGGAGUGAGUCCAGAUGUAGUCACCUAUUCCAUUGUAAUAGCCGCACUUUCCAGAAUGGGUAGGCUGACCGAUGCUAUUGAGAAAUUCAAUGAGAUGACUGCCUUGGAAGUACAGCCGGACACAACUGUUUAUCACUCACUGAUUCAGGGUUGUUGCAUAGACGGUGAUUUGGUUAAAGCUAAGGAGCUGAUGUUUGAAAUGAUGAACGGUGGUAUUCCUCGGCCUAACAUUGUGUUCUUCAAUUCAGUAAUAAACAGUCUGUGCAAAGAAGGAAGGGUUAUGGAUGCACAUGAUGUCUUAGACUUGGUUAUAGGCAUAGGUGAGAGGCCUGAUGUCAUUACAUUUAAUUCACUGAUUGACGGAUAUUGCUUAGUCGGGAAGACGGAUAAAGCAUUCAAAAUACUUGAUGUCAUGAAAUCAGUUGGUGUUGAGUCUGAUGUUGUUACUUAUAGUGCACUUCUUGAUGGCUAUUUUAAAAACAGAAGGAUUGAUGAUGCUUUGACUUUGUUUAGAGAAAUGCCGCGUAAGAGAAUUAAACCUGGCACUGUUACAUAUGGCAUCAUGUUGGAUGGGUUGUUUCGUGCUGGGAGAACUGUUGCCGCAAAGAAAAUGUUCCAUGAGAUGAACGAGAGUGGAACAACGGUGGACAUUUCCACAUACAAUAUAAUACUGGGAGGUCUUUGUAGAAAUAAGUGUGCAGACGAAGCGAUCACACUGUUCCAGAAAUUACGAGCAAUGAAUGUGAAGUUAAAUAUUAAAAUACUCAAUACCAUGAUUAAUGCAAUGUACACGGUUCAAAGAAAGGAAGAGGCUAAGGAUUUGUUUUCUGCAAUGUCAGCCAAUGGGUUGGUGCCCAAUGAAUCUACUUAUGCAGUAAUGAUAAGAAAUCUUCUAAAAGACGGAGCAGUGGAAGAUGCUGACAAUAUGUUUUCAUCAAUGGACAACAGUGGUAUCAUUCCCAGUUCCUGUCUUAUAAAUGAUAUCAUCAGAAUGUUGUUGGAAAAAGGUGAGAUAGCCAAGGCUGGAAAUUAUUUGUCUAAAGUUGAUGGGAAGAGGAUCUCACUUGAAGCUUCAACUACCUCAUUGAUGUUGUCUCUCUUUUCAAGGAAAGGGAAACAUCAGGAGGAUAUUAAGUUGCUCCCUGCAAAGUAUCAAUUUUUCGAUGGAUUUGGUUGA